GACGAACGCUGGCGGCGUGCCUAAUACAUGCAAGUAGAACGCAGAAGGAGGAGCUUGCUUCUCUGGAUGAGUUGCGCACGGGUGAGUAACGCGUAGGUAAACUGCCUGGAAGCGGGGGGUAACACUUGGAGACGAUAGCUAAUACCGCAUAAUAGAAGAUGUUGCAUAACAUUCGCUUAAAAGGUGCAAUUGCAUCACUACCAGAUGGACCUGCGUCGUAUUAGCUAGUUGGUGGGGUUACGGCGCACCAAGGCGACCAUUCCUAGCCGACCUUGGGGGGGGGUCGGCCCCCCUGGGACCUGGGCACCGCCCAGGCUCCUUCGGGGGGCAGCCGUAGGGGAUCUUCGGCAAUUGACGGAAGUCUUACCGGGCAACGCCGCGUGAGUUGAGGAGGUUUUCGGGUCGUAAAGCUCUGUUGUAAGGGAAGAACGAGUGUGGGAGUGGAAAGUUCACACUUUGACGGUAUCUUACCAGAAAGGGACGGCUAACUACGUG
rnacentral:rRNA from 1 species